UCUGUCAUUCUGUAGGCCAAU
rnacentral:miRNA from 2 species